CUGUGUCCAUAGCAGCAUAACUUCCUUCGGGAUCCUUUAAUUGGAUCUCGUCAUCCUCUACUCGGGGAGUAGCUGGGUUGGUGAACAUCUAUAGCACCGCCUCAGCAGUGUGGGCAACGAGGUUUGGCUCCUCAGACUGGCCAGCUGGUGUCACUGGUGCUGAUGGUACUGCUGGGUCUGAUGGUGUUGCUGGAGCAGUCUCCAUCAGCUAGUCAAAUGGAAGAUGCGCAGCAGCUGCUAUCUUGGUCAUCUCUCAUCUCAACCUGUCAAUUGAUUUCUUCGAAGCCUGGUAUUGUCUCAUCUUCUUCACCUGCUUUGCAAGCUCCUCAAUUGUUGUUUCAUGUACCACCAAAAUGUCCAUGAUGGUCUUCUGGUACUCCAGAAUCUUAUACAAAGUUUCCUCUACUAUCAGAGAAAUCUGGGAUGCUGGGUAGAAGUCUAGGCUGCAAUAACACUGAAUAGGUCAGACAUAUUUGUAGUAGUUGUUUGCAUCUAGAUGUUGAGACUCACUAGUGUUUGGGAGACUCGCAGCAUAGAAAGUGGAUGAGCAUACAUACGCACUAUCCUCAAAGUAGAAGUGGAUGGAGUUAUGCUGACAACGCGGAAGAUAGAAGUGGAGGUAUAUAAGUUGUACUGCUAGAAGGCCCAACUGCAGUUGUAGGCAUGUCAGCUGAAUCUGUAGCUACCACCGAAGGCUUAUCAGACUAACUCACAGUAGUAAUCAGCUGGCCCUUGUUCUUUGGGUUCCUCGGGUCCUUUAAGGAGUAGCAUGUGAAGGUCUUCUUCGCCUGAACCUUUGUGUCAAAGCUCUUUGACUCCACCCCUACAUCCAUAAGAUACUCCGUGAUAGUGUUAGGAGACGGGUAUGAGCUAUCACGCUGCGUACCGACCAGAGACAUGUUGAUCGACAUGAUUUCACCCAUAUUGAUUGGGUACCCGACCACGAUGGAGGCCACCAAAAA
rnacentral:lncRNA from 1 species